GGUUACUGCUAUCGGUGUUCGCCUAAGCCAUGCGAGUCAUAUGUUCUUCGGAACAUGGCGUACUGCUCAGUAACACGUGGAUAACCUGCCCUUGGGUCCGGCAUAACCCCGGGAAACUGGGGAUAAUUCCGGAUAACGCACAUAUGCUGGAAUGCUUUAUGCGUCAAAUGGAUUCGUCUGCCCAAGGAUGGGUCUGCGGCCUAUCAGGUAGUAGUGGGUGUAAUGUACCUACUAGCCUACGACGGGUACGGGUUGUGAGAGCAAGAGCCCGGAGAUGGAUUCUGAGACAUGAAUCCGGGCCCUACGGGGCGCAGCAGGCGCGAAAACUUUACAAUGCGGGAAACCGUGAUAAGGGGACACCGAGUGCCAGCAUCAUAUGCUGGCUGUCCGGGUGUGUAAAAUACACCUGUUAGCAAGGGCCGGGCAAGACCGGUGCCAGCCGCCGCGGUAACACCGGCGGCCCGAGUGGUGAUCGUGAUUAUUGGGUCUAAAGGGUCCGUAGCCGGUUUGGUCAGUCCUCCGGGAAAUCUGACGGCUUAACCGUUAGGCUUUCGGGGGAUACUGCCAGACUUGGAACCGGGAGAGGUAAGAGGUACUACAGGGGUAGGAGUGAAAUCUUGUAAUCCCUGUGGGACCACCUGUGGCGAAGGCGUCUUACCAGAACGGGUUCGACGGUGAGGGACGAAAGCUGGGGGCACGAACCGGAUUAGAUACCCGGGUAGUCCCAGCCGUAAACGAUGCUCGCUAGGUGUCAGGCAUGGCGCGACCGUGUCUGGUGCCGCAGGGAAGCCGUGAAGCGAGCCACCUGGGAAGUACGGCCGCAAGGCUGAAACUUAA
rnacentral:rRNA from 1 species